CCGAGCGUAGUCCAACGGCAGAGACAGAGGACUUAAAAUCCUUCCAGUGCGGGUUCGAAUCCCGCCGCUCGGAUCA
rnacentral:tRNA from 1 species